rnacentral:rRNA from 1 species
CACGUAGGGCGCAAGCGUUGUCCGGAAUUAUUGGGCGCAAAGAGCUCGUAGGCGGUCUGUUACGUCUGCUGUGAAAACCCGGGGCUUAACCCUGGGCUUGCAGUGGAUACGGGCAGACUAGAGGCAGGUAGGGGAGAAUGGAAUUCCCGGUGUAGCGGUGAAAUGCGCAGAUAUCGGGAAGAACACCCGUGGCGAAGGCGGUUCUCUGGGACGGUACUGACGCUGAGACGCGAAAGCGUGGGGAGCGAACAGG